UUGAACGCUGGCGGCAGGCCUAACACAUGCAAGUCGAGCGGAUGAAGGGAGCUUGCUCCUGGAUUCAGCGGCGCACGGGUGAGUAAUGCCUAGGAAUCUGCCUGGUAGUGGGGGAUAACGUCCGGAAACGGGCGCUAAUACCGCAUACGUCCUGAGGGAGAAAGUGGGGGAUCUUCGGACCUCACGCUAUCAGAUGAGCCUAGGUCGGAUUAGCUAGUUGGUGGGGUAAAGGCCUACCAAGGCGACGAUCCGUAACUGGUCUGAGAGGAUGAUCAGUCACACUGGAACUGAGACACGGUCCAGACUCCUACGGGAGGCAGCAGUGGGGAAUAUUGGACAAUGGGCGAAAGCCUGAUCCAGCCAUGCCGCGUGUGUGAAGAAGGUCUUCGGAUUGUAAAGCACUUUAAGUUGGGAGGAAGGGCAGUAAGUUAAUACCUUGCAGUUUUGACGUUACCAACAGAAUAAGCACCGGCUAACUUCGUG
rnacentral:rRNA from 1 species